CACGACUCAUUUUGUUCUGUAACUUGUAAAACUAUUAGCUAAAAUUGAACAUUAUGUUGGACGAUCCUGUGUGAGCUUUCUAAUAACAAAAGCAAGCUCUCUUGUUCCUAAUGCUUCCAGGUCCUACAGGAUUUCUUGAAUAAAAGCAAAGAAAAUGAUCUAUUCAGAUAUGGAAUCCCAUAUAUAGAUUCCAAAGGUCUUGAUGAGGACUUGAGGAUUAGUAAUGAAGAUAGUCAAACAUCUUGGAAGCAACCUGAUCUCCAUGAUUCACCAGCAAGCUCUGAUUAUAGCUCAGGAUCAACCGUAAUGCCUCCUCAUCCUUCUGAUG